CGCUUAUGCGUUGUUGGGUAGGGGAGCGUUCUGUAAGCCUGCGAAGGUGUGCUGUGAGGCAUGCUGGAGGUAUCAGAAGUGCGAAUGCUGACAUAAGUAACGAUAAAGCGGGUGAAAAGCCCGCUCGCCGGAAGACCAAGGGUUCCUGUCCAACGUUAAUCGGGGCAGGGUGAGUCGACCCCUAAGGCGAGGCCGAAAGGCGUAGUCGAUGGGAAACAGGUUAAUAUUCCUGUACUUGGUGUUACUGCGAAGGGGGGACGGAGAAGGCUAUGUUGGCCGGGCGACGGUUGUCCCGGUUUAAGCGUGUAGGCUGGUUUUCCAGGCAAAUCCGGAAAAUCAAGGCUGAGGCGUGAUGACGAGGCACUACGGUGCUGAAGCAACAAAUGCCCUGCUUCCAGGAAAAGCCUCUAAGCAUCAGGUAACAUCAAAUCGUACCCCAAACCGACACAGGUGGUCAGGUAGAGAAUACCAAGGCGCUUGAGAGAACUCGGGUGAAGGAACUAGGCAAAAUGGUGCCGUAACUUCGGGAGAAGGCACGCUGAUAUGUAGGUGAAGUCCCUCGCGGAUGGAGCUGAAAUCAGUCGAAGAUACCAGCUGGCUGCAACUGUUUAUUAAAAACACAGCACUGUGCAAACACGAAAGUGGACGUAUACGGUGUGACGCCUGCCCGGUGC
rnacentral:rRNA from 1 species